GAGCGGAUUUAUAUAAUAGAGAAUCUUUCGGGGUUAAGGAAAAUAUAGGUCAGCGGCGGACGGGUGAGUAACACGUGGAUAACCUGCCCUAUACAGCUGGAUAACAAUUAGAAAUGAUUGCUAAUACAGCAUAAGCUUACGUUACCGCAUGGUAGAGUAAGAAAAGAAAUAUCGGUAUAGGAGGGGUCCGCGGAUGAUUAGCUAGUUGGCGGGGUAACGGCCCACCAAGGCAACGAUCAAUAACCGGGAUGAGAGUCUGAACGGUCACAUUGGGACUGAGACACGGCCCAAACUCCUACGGGAGGCAGCAGUGGGGAAUAUUGCGCAAUGGAGGGAACUCUGACGCAGCAACGCCGCGUGAAGGAAGAAGGCAGUAAUGUUGUAAACUUCUAUCAACAGGGAAGAAGAAAGUGACGGUACCUGAAUAAGAAGCACCGGCUAAAUACGUGCCAGCAGCCGCGGUAAU
rnacentral:rRNA from 1 species